UCUCUCUCUCUCUCUCUCUCUCUCUCUCUCGUGUGUGUGUGUGUGUGUGUGUAAGAGAGAGAGAGAGAGAGAGAGAGAGA